UCUAAAAUGGCAGAUAAAUGCAUAGGAUUUAAACUCCUACUAAGAAGAUCUUCUUCUUUUAGAA
rnacentral:tRNA from 1 species